rnacentral:lncRNA from 1 species
GUCAGGGGGAAGAGUCAGUGCAGUGUGAGUCAUGUUGGGGGCAGGUGGUGGCUCCCUGGCGACAAAGGCAUGGGUGUGGAGGUUAGGGCUGGGGAGAAAGGAGAGCUGGUAGCCUUUUCCUUUUGUUUUGUGUCAUUUACGUACCAUAAAAUGCACACGUUAGUGUAGAAUUCAGUGGCUAUUAGUGCGUUCACAGAGUUGUAAAACAUCACUGCAAUCUCGUUUUAAGUGACUGGUUGAGCUUCUGUGAGGCUGAGGAUGCAGACCAGGCCUCCGGGCUGGUGAGGACUGGACUUCCUGACUGUUCCUCUGCAGACUGGCAAGCCCGUUUGUGCCCUGCUCCGCACUGGGGGCCUGGCAGAGAAGAGGGGCUGGAGCCCAGUGGGGUUUACCAGCAUCUUCACCAAGCGCUGUGCCCAGGAAUGAGGUGCUGUUCCUGGCCGCACGUCUGGGGGACGCUGCCUUCGAAUCCACUCACAGGUAGGCCGGCCCUGCCUGCAGGCCUCUUUCCACCCAGCCAGCAAACACCUCACCGUCUUCAUGUGUCCUGUGGCUUUUCAGCAGGCUGGAUUUUCUCCUCACAGCGUCUGGAAAACAGAGUCAAGUUUCUCCCUCCCCUCCCUCGCUACUCUCUCCUCCCUCUGCAGGCUCCGGAUCAGGCUGCCAAUCUGUAAAUGAUGUUUUAGGUUUUUCUUUGUUGUUGUUUUGGUGCUGUGAAGCCUGCCUUGUUAACACCAGGUGCUGAAAGAUUAAAACUUAUCAAUCACCAUCAUCAAGGUGAGGAGGGGUAGGAUGGUUUCAACUAGUCCCAAAUUUCCUGGAGGAAUUUGGCCUCUUGUCAAUUUCCCUCUCCCGAGGCUGACAUUGCCAGCAGAGCAAAGUCCUCUCCAGCUGCCCACUCUCAGGCUUUACUAAGUUAAAAAUCUCUUAGCUUGGGCUCUGUGCUAAGCACAAGAAAGGGACCAACAUUUCUUGACUGAUAAUAUAUUAGUUGUUUCUUGCUAUUUGACUGUGAGACUCUAAGAAUAGUAUAUUUUUCUGGAAGCAGAGUUUUAACAACCUAGAAAGCUUAAUUAAGCUUUCCUGCUGCAUUGUUUAAAUUGAAUUAGUAGCAGAAGAGUAUUUUUAGAAGUGAAAUGAUAAUUUCAUGUAACAGAUAACAUGUCUGAAUAUUCUUAAACCUCUAUAUAGGCCAAAACAUAGCGACAGAAUUGACUUCACAAGUCUAAAAGUAUGAACGGUUUGCUUUUACACACGUCAUCACUAUCAUAUCUAUUUAUUCAAUUUAUACCUUGAAUUCCUUUUUCCUAAGUACAAAGUGAGCCGGGGUUGGGAGGAGAACUUUUAAAAGCACUUUACAAAUGUGACGGGCCUGGAGUGAUUUUUCAGUUCCUGGUUUUGCCGGUCUGGGUGGGCUCACUUCCUAGCUUUCAGUCUUGUUUGGAUUUUGUUUCUUUUAUUCAGAGGAACCAGGAUAUCACUUAGUGGUGACUGCUUUGUGUAUUACUUUGGAUAGUAAAAGUACCUGAUAUGGUUUGGCUGUGUCCACACCAAAAUCUCAUCUUGAAUUGUAACUCCCACAAUUCCCACAUGUCAUGGGAGGAACCCAGUGGGAGGUGAUUGAAUCAUGGAGGCAGGUCUUUCCCAUGCUACUCUUGUGAUAAUGACUACAUCUCACGAGAUCUGAUUAUAUAAGGGGGAGUUGCCGGGCACAAGUUCUCUUCUCUUGUCUGCUGCCAUGUGAGACAUACCUUUCACCUUCCGCCAUGAUUGUGAGGCCUCUCCAGCCACGUGGAACUCAGGUUUCAGUCCUUGAGGAGCGCUCACUAGGAUGGUAAUUGUUUGAUCGAUAGAUUAAGUGAGUUGGAAGACUCUCCAAGUGAAAAUUUAAAAUUACUGCAGUUUUGGCCUGAUGAUGUUAACCAGCAAGAACAGAAUCUGAAACCAGAUGAGCUGUUAGUACUGCUUUCAUCUGUUUUACAGCCACAGCGACAGCAGUUCCCUGGCUUCUGGAAGGAGUGUCGGUCUAUCCAAAAAAUGUACUAACAGAUAUGUAAAGUCUGUCAUCCAUUUGCAGCAAAUUUUGCCUACGGUAUGAAAUAGGAGUUCAAUUUGACAUUGAAUAUUGAUAUCUUAGCAAUAUUAUCUCCCAAUCUGUGAACACGAAAUUUCUUUAUAUUUAUUCAAAUUAUCUUUGGUUUUUAAUGAUGUUAAAUCCAAGUAUUCUUUGUGAUGCUGUUGUAAAUGGAAUUUUUUGUGUUGUUCAUUGCUAAUGUAUAAAAACCAAUGAUGUUUGUAUAUUAAUCUUGUAUCCUGCAACCUCAUUGAACUAGUUUAUUAGCUCUAGUAAUAUGUUGGUGUGAAUCCCUUAAUAUUUUCUACAUACAAGAUCAUGUCAUCUGCAAAUUGUUUUACUUCUUCCUUUCCAAUUUGGAUGCUUUUUAUUUCAUCUUGCCUACUGCUUUGGCUACAACCUCCAGUACAAGAUUGAAUAGAAGUGAUGAGACAGAACAUCCUUGUCUUAUUUGUGAUCUCUGGGGGGGAAGGCUUACAGUAUUUUGCAUCAACAUAUCAGCUACGGGUUUUUCAUAGAUGUCCUUUCUCAGGAUGAAAAAGUCCAUGUUUGGCUUUUUGAAUGUUUUCAUCUAAGAGUUUUGGAUUUUGCCAAAUGUUAAAUGCUUCUUCUGUAUGCAUUGAGAUGAUCUUGUUGUUUUUGUCCUUUAUUCUAAUAAUAUGGUGUACUACAUUGAUUUCUGUAUGUUGAAGUUUGUAUUCCUAAGAUAAAUCUCACUUGCUUAUGGUGUACAUUCCUUUCUAUAUGUUGCUGGAUUUACUUUCAUUAGUAUUUUGUUGAGGAUUUUUGCCUCUAUAUUGAGGGCUAUUGGCCUGUAGUUGUUUUCUUUGCCUGAUUUCUAAUGUGGGUGAUACUGAAUUGGGAAGGGUAUCCUCCUUCUCUGUUUUUUGGUGUUUGUGAAUAAUUGGUGGUAUUCUGUAAAUGUUUGACAGAAUUCACCAGUGAAGACAUCUGCUCCUGGACUUUUUCCCGUGGGAAGUUUGUUUUUAAGAGAUGGGAGUCUCACUCUCACCCAGGCUGGAGUGCAGUGGUGUGACAAUAGCUCACUACAGCCUUGAACUUGUGGGCUUAAGGGAUACUUCCACCUCAGCCUCCCAAGUAGCUGGGACUGCAGGUGUGCACCACCACACCUAUUUUUUUUUAAUUUAUUUUUUUUUAGAGACAAGGUCUCACUAUGUUGCCCAGGCUGGUCUUAAACUUCUGGCCUAAAGCCAUCCUCCUGCUUCAGCCUCCCAAGUAGCUGGCAUUACAUGUGUGAGCCACCAUGCCUGGCUGUGGGAAGUUUUUUGAUUACUCAUUAAUUUAAUCUCUUGUUUGGAUCUAUUUAAAGUUUUUAUUUCUUCUUCAGUUUUGAUAUGUCUUUCUAGAAAUUUGUCCAUGUCAUCUAAGUUCCCUAAUUUGUUGUCAUAUGAACUCUUAUUUUUAUUUCCAUAAGAUUGGUAGUAGUCUUUCAUUCCUGACUUUGGUAAUCUAUCUUCUCUAUUUUUUUUUCUAGGCUGCCUAAGGGUGUGUCAACUUUAUUGACUUUUUCUAAGAACCAGCUUUCGGUUUGAUUUUCUCUGUUUUUCUUUCUAGGCUGCCUAAGGGUUUGUCAACUUUAUUGACUUUUUCUAAGAACCAGCUUUUGGUUUGAUUUUCUCUGUUUUUCUUUCUAUCCUCUAUUUCAUUUAUUUUGAUUCUAAUCCAUAUUAUUUCUUUGUUCUGCUUGCUUUAGGUUUAGUUUGCUAUUAUUUUCUAGUUUCUGAAGGUUUAGAGCUAGGUUAUUGAUUUGAAGCUUUUAACAGAGACAUUUAUAGCUAUACAUGGUCCUUUAAGUGAUGGUUUAGCUGCAUCUCAUAAGUUCUGGUAUGUUCUGUUAUUUUCAUUACUCUCUUAAGGGACUUUGUAAUUUCCCUUGUGAUUCUUUUCUUUGACCCAUUGGUUAAAAGGAAUGUACUGUUUAAUUUCCACAUUUUUUUAGGUUUCCCAAAUUUUCUUCCAAUUUUAAAUUUCAUCCCAUUGUGGUCAGAGAACGUGUUUUGUAUAAUUUCAACGAUUAAAAUUAUGCCUUCUUGAUGGAUUGUCCCUUUUAUUAUGUAAUGUCUUUGUCUCUACUAACAAUUUUUAUCUUAAAGUCUGUUUUGUCUGAUGUUAUAUCCACUCAAGCUUUUUCCUUACAGUUUACAUGUGUUUUUUUCAUCCUUUUACUUUCAGCCUACUUGUGUCAUUGAAUCUAAAGUGUUUCUUAGUGGGCAGCAUAUAGUUGGACCAUGAUUUUUAUCCAUUCUACCAUCUUUGCCUUUUGAGUGUUUAAUCCAUUUAUGCUUAAUGCCAAUUACUGAUAAGGCAGGGUUUAGUCUGCCAUUUUGCUAAUUUUUUUCUUUUUUUUUUUUUUUAAUAGAGACAAGGCCUCACUAUGUUGUCCAUGCUGGCCUUGAACUCCCCAGGCUCAAGCAAUCCUCCUGCUUCAGCCUCCCAAAGUGCUGGGAUUAUAGGCAUGAGCCACUGUGACCAGAUUUUUUGCUUUCUAUGUCUUUUGUCUUUUUUGUUCCUUUAUUCCUCUGUUACUUCCAUAUCUUCUUUUGUUAGCAGCUAUUUUCUAGUGUACCAUUUUCUUUGUUGUAGCUUUUACUAUAUAUUCUCUAGCUAUGUUCUUAGUGUUUUUCCUGAGGAUUAUUAACAUUUCAAUUUAUAACAACCUAGUUUGGAAUAAUGCUAACUUCAACAGUAUAGAAAAAUUUUCUUCCUAAGUCUCUUCCCUCCUCCUUCCUUUGUAAUGUUGUCAUACAAAUUGUUUUUUCACCUUAUGCCCAGAUUUUUAAUUAUUGUUUUAUGCAGUUGCCUCAAAUCAGAUAGGAGGAAAGUUACCAAAAAUGCAUUUGUACUGCCUUUUAUAUUUACCAAUAUAACUACCUUUACCAGUGCUAUUUCUUCAUGUGCAUUUGAGUUACUAUUAUCUUUUCGUUUCAGCCUUUAAGUUCUCUGUUUUUCUUGUAGAGCAGCCUUGCUAAUAAAUUCUGUUUUUGUUUAUCUGGGCAUGUCCUAAUCAUUUCUGAAGGAUAGUUUUGCUGGAAAUAGAAUGCUUAUUUGAUAGUCAUUCACUUUCAGCACUUGGAAUACAUCAUCCCACUGUUUUCUACACUCCAUAGUUUCUGAUGAAGAUCCCUAGUACACGAGUCACUUCUCUCUUUGCUUCCAAGAUGCUUUGGUACACAGUGUGAUUUUGUAUCCAGGCACGGAUCUCUUGAGUUUAUACUACUUAAGGUUCAUUGAGCUUCUUGGGUAUGUAAAUCAAUGCUUUUCAUCAAAUUUCAGUCUUUGGCCAUUAUUUUUUUUUAAAAUAUUCUACCUCUUUCUCUCCUCUCGUCUGGGACUCCAAUUAUGCAUAUAUUGGUAUGCAUGAUGGUGUGCCACAGCUCUCUGAGGCUCUAUUCAUUUUUCUUUAUUCUUUUUUCUGUUUCUCAGACUAGAUAGAGUUCCUCUCAUGAAUUUUUCAUUUCAGUUAUUGUAUUUUCAACUUCAUGAUUUAUAUUUGGUUCUUUUAAAAAUAAUUUUUCAUUUUCUAUUUAGUGAGACAUUUUCAUACUUUUAGUUCUUUACACAUUAUUUUUCUUUAGUUCUCUGAACCUAUUUAAAAUAGCCAAUUUAAAGUCUUCAUCUAAAAAUCCAAUGUCUAGACUUCCUCAGGUGUCUAUUUUUUAUUCCUCCCAUGUAUGGAACAUACUUUCUUCUUUAUGUGUCUCAUAAUUUUUCUGUGGAAAACUGGACAUUUCAAAG